GUUCUUUUCUUUUCUCUUUUGUUCUUACUGAGUAGAUGGUUCUAGACGAUCAGAAGAGACAUCGGGGAAAUGGGGGUUUCUUGCCGGUGGAAAUUUCGAUCGCCUGUUGCAUGUUCGUGCUCUCCUCUCUCGGCUUCGUCGGCCGCUGUGGCUCAUCGCGUGAGAGUACUAUGAAAGAGCCCUCACAGAUGGUAUACUGGGCAUCCAAAGGGGUAGAGAGCCCGGAGUGAUGAUCUACAUGCUCUCACUAGGCCGUGGCGUUUCCAAAGCCAUAAGUUGCCAUGGAUGAGGAACGAAGUUCAAUUCCUUUUGGUGCUGCUAUGGGACAGGAUUGGACCUGAAACCUCAAUAUUUCUUCAGAACGUGUUCUACUUUUCCUUCUCAAUUUCCACGGGAAAAAAAUCCUCAACAUGGUUUUUUUGUAAAUAAAUUCAUUAUAUGCAUAAACCUUUUGACUUCAUCAUGCAACGUUAGAAUUUAAAGUCUCCCUGGUUGUUUCAUGAUAGAUUCCAUAUUCUGUUAUAGAAAAAUAUUUACUAGCUUCCUUGGUGGUUAGUUUUGAUUGAGGACACUUUAUUAGCCUGCUAUCCACCUUUCACUCAUGUCCUUGUUUCUUAUUCUGGUGUGGUAUUGAUUCUUUUAGUUAACCUGCUAUUGGAUAUUUUCGUCUUUUGCUAAUGUUUACUUGUGCAUCUUAAUUUGUGCGUACUUGUGCAUCUUACUUUUGUAUUUCUUUUUCCAUUUGCGAAACUUAGAGAGAGAAACACCUAUUCCAAAACCCUAACUGAGAGCUGACAGAUCAGUGAUGAAAUAGUCGAUUUGGUUUCGUUAAAGAGAAGUAAAGAGUGUACUGGUUUCCCAUUUUGAGCUAUUACACAGUUGUUUUAUUUUUCCCUUUCUCUCAAUUUUUUUGGGAGGAUAGCGAUUCCUUCCAACUUUUAUCUUCACAUAAUCAUAUACAAGGAAUGUUAUAGGGCCCAUUCGUUGAUACACUCAUAUUAAUUUAUUUGGGACUCUUUCGUAUCUAAAGCAGAAUAAAAACAGGAAUAGGAAAUUCAGAAAGUAAGUGUCAGCUAUUUGCUCCAGUUUUAGUGGUUUGUGCAUGAUGCCAAGGUUUGUGCAGUUAUUUUUCAUAUUAGCCUCAAGCAUCACAACUGAUAGGAUAACCCUGUAGGUUAAGACAUAUAACCUCAAUCAUGAUUGUGGCUGGAUGUGGACUAACAACCUACUGAAUUCAAUUUGGCUGGUAAACACUUAUUUUAAGGAGUUCAAGAUCAAGCCCUCAUGGAUGGAAUAACCAUUGAUAAGUUUGAAAGGAUGUACAUUUGCUGGGCUGCAUUAAAGAAAGGGUUCAUUGAGGGUUGUAGGCCCAUCAUUGGAGUAGAUGGUUAUCAUUUGAAAGGCUCCCAUGGAGGGCAAUUGUUUACUAUAGAUGGGAAUAACCAGAUAUAUCCAGUGGCUUAUGCAAUGGUUGAGGUUGAAGAUGAAGCAAGUUGGAGUUGGUUCUUGGAGCAUUUGAAGAAUGAUCUUGAGAUACCAAAUGAACCAACAUUCACAAUCAUUUCAGAUAAACAAAAUGUAAAUUUCAGUUCCAAUAUUGCUGUUACUCUAAUUUCCAUUGGUAUUCAAUCUUUCUAUUCCCUUAUUGCUUUGCUCUCAAAAACUUAUAUAUUUUGUUUGUUGAAUGCACAAGGUAUGCUGCUGGUGCUGUGAUGAAACUUAUUCAUGAUUGCCCAAACUUAUUCUAUGCUUAAACUUGUAACCAAAUAUGAAAUCCAAACUUAUUUUCUGCUGUUUACUGCCACUCUAAACUGUUAUUUUUUUGCUUUGGUUUGUCUUUCUUGCUGCUGUAAACUGCUGUUGAAUGCCCAAACUUUGUUUGUUGAGUGCACAAGGUAUGCUGCUGUAAAUGGAUGUUUUCUACUGCUGUAAACUGCUGCUGUAAAUAAAUGUUUUCUACUGCUGUAAAUGGAUCUUUUACCGUUCCUUGCAGGGGCUGAUAAAUGCAAUCAGUAACUUGUUGCCUUGUUUGGAACACAGACAUUGUGUUAGGCAUCUACACAGCAAUAUACAGGUCAAGCCGUUAAAGAAAGGUUGUGGAGUCUUGCUAGAGCUACCUAUAUGGGGAGGUUUAAAAGCCUAAUGAAAGAGUUCAAGAAAGAGGAUGGGGUAGCAUUCAAGUGGCUUGCUAAGCAUGAUGCCCACCACUGGUCUAGGUCUCAUUUCAGUGAGGCUCCCAAAUGUGACAUUCUCCUGUAUAACCUAUGUGAGUCUUUUAAUGCUGCCAUACUAGAUGCUAGGGACAAACCAAUUCUGACCAUGCUAGAGAGGAUUAGGAUUUAUUUGACAAGGCAUUUAGUGAGGAGGGGGGCUUCUGUUGAGAAAUGGCAUGGUCAGAUAGGUCCAAAGAGUACAUUGUUGUCUUAACUGGGGACUACCAAUUUGAAGUUGGGGGUUUUCCUGGAACAGUUCUGCAUUGACAUGAAUGCCCAAACAUACUCUUGUAGAAGACGGGAGUUGACAGGCAUCCCUUGUGCACACACACUUGCUGUCUUUAGGGAAACAAAAUAGAAAGUUCAAGGCAUUGUGCAUGACUACUACCAGAAGCAAACAUACGUCAAAACCCACAAGCAUGUGAUAUAGUCCAUUAAUGGAAUGGACAUGUGGGAGAAGAUAGAUAAACCACCAAUUCAGCCACCACAUUCCACUAGAAAGUCUGGGAGGCCUAAGAAAUGCAGGAGGAGGGAAGCAGAUGAGCCACUUGCUCAAAGUGAAGAUGGAACCAAGAAAUUGAGGAGAUUAUCUUAAGAAAUUGAGCUGUAGAAGAUGUGGGAAAAAAGGGCACAAUGUGAGGACGUGCCCAUCUGGUAAAAAGGGAGGUGAAACCAAAGAAAAGCAAUGUGAAGAUGCAACCAAAGAAAAGCAAUGCAGUCUGGUAAUCACACAACCAACAUUCAGUCAGCCAUCACAACCCACACCCACAAUCACAAGAGCUCCGAAGGCGCCAACUAAAAGGUUAAGUGUAGCUAAAAGGGGAGGUGUCCGUUAAGUUUCUAUCUUUAAAUGUCUUUAUCUAAGUUUAAGACCAAAUUUUAUCUACUGUUAUGGUGGUUUGUAUUGCCCUGGCUUUUGGUGCCUUGUUUGGCAUGGCUAUUGAUGCUUGUUCUGCUUUUGUGAUGGCUAUUGAUGCAUUGUUUAGCUUGUGGUACUAUUAUGGCUGAACCUAAGGAAUGACCUUGUUUUGUUAAUAGAGACAUUUGUUGGAACUAUUAUGCCUUCUUGUGUUUUUGUGGUUGUUGCUACUGCUAAUGCCUUUUUUUUCUUUUUGCAAAUGCAUGUUUUCAAAUAAAUCACUCUUUGGCUUUAAAAUAGCAUUCCAAUCAAAUGCGACAGGAUACAUGAAUCCAAAGUAAUUGUCCAACCAAAUUACAAUUAACAUUUUAAUGAAUAAGACGAUGCUGGCAGGAGUGCCCCCCUUCAAAAACAGUAUUAUCUUACUUGAGCCCUUUUAAAAUCCCAUUUAUUUUUACCAUAAUCCCUCUAAAGUUGACAAAUACUUACAUUUUUACCAUAAUCCCACAAAAUACUGCAAUAUUUAUCAAGACAAGAAUGCGACCAUAUUCUCAUUAAAAGGUUUUUUUCCAUGUUCUAUUCAUUGACCUAAUGCUUAAGUCGUAGGUCAAAUUGGCUUCAGGUAAAAAGUUUUUUUAUUUAUUAAUUUCCCUUGUUCUCCAAGAAAGAAAAAAAAGUGCAAUAAGUUUAUUUCCUGUGUGUAAGCUGACUUUUUCAUGACAAUCGUAUGUUCUAUUGUUUGGUAAAGUAGGCUUAUGAAUUGAUUGUGGCUGGAUAUUUUGGUAGUUAAGUUACAGGUUAGAUGGAUUUUUUUUUUUAAUUUAGAAAAGAUGGUGAAUACGUUCAUUAUUAACCUAAUGUUAAGGUAUACAUCUGGAGUGGGAGGGUUGAGCAAGUUUAGGAGUACACAAGUUUGGCUUUCAUUUGUGCCCCCUUUUUAAUUAACCGUGUUCAAGUUUCAGGAAAAUACCCAAGUACCUUUAAAAAGGUUCGCCUUGGGGGGUUACAGUGUUAAAGACUUACCUUAUGCAAGUCACGUGGCUUAGCAUACAACAUACACAUCACUAUUAACUACAAAUCAAUUAAAAAUAGGCGAACCAGUUUGACUAUGACUAACGCUAUUUAAGACCUGAAUCCAUUUGGGGAAAUAAAAUUCUUUUGUGUAAUGGUUAUUUAAUGCUGUUUUGAGUUUGAUCUUGAAUCUUUUUCUUCUUUCUAUUCUGCAUUGCAGAAGUUAUAUCUUAUUCUGAGUGAAAAGGUUUGAAGCUUGUGGUUAAUAUAAUAGUGAUCAUUAAAAGAACUUUUCCCAAAAGCAUCAUCAUAAUCUUAGGUGAUUACCCGUUUUCGAUGGCCUAUGCCACUUCCUUAGCUGUAGCUUGUUAUGUUUUUACUUUUACAGGUUUGAGAAGGUGAAUGAGUGAUGAAAAGAUAAGUGAAGAAGCUCAUUGAAGCCACAAAUUCACAGAAAUCAGCGCCCAAAACCAUCAGACCUAAGGAGUUAGUGAUCUAACUGUCAUUGGAACUUGGAAGAAACAUCAUCAACGGAAUUGGUGACCCAAGGAUGUUUCUUUCAGCUACACUUAUGGUCAUAAGCCUGGUAUGAGUGUCAAUCGUGAUGUUCUCUCCAAAUGGUCUCGAUGUUAUUUUGGACGGAGCUUGAAGUUUAGUAACGCUUGGACUGGAUAAUGUAUUUGUAUAUCGAGGAUCAAUGUUCUUAUUUUGUGUCAAUAAAUUGUGUUGUACUUGGUCUGUGCCUAAUUUACUCUGAACUCUGCCUAAUUUACUCUGAACUCUAAAGUACAAUUGCCUAGACUUACUUUCAAUAAGUAAAUCUUUUCCUCUCUAUAAUUUCAA